UGGCUGCCGCUUGGAAACUCGAUCCACCAUUCAUCUUCUUCUUCUUUCCUCCGAUGUAAUCAAUAAUCAUCAACACAUCUCUUUCCCUACAAUAAUUCAUCAUCUUCAACAUCCUCUUUCAUUCUCUCAAAUCUCAAGCAUGGUUAAGAAAAGAGCCUUUUCACAAAGAUUCAAUCCAUAACCAUAAAUUUCUUAAGGGGUGAAAAAUGGACGCCCAAAACUGCAAUCUUCACCGUCUUAGAUCACCAUCGCACCGCAACCACAACUCGCCGCCACAACAGCACCACACCAUGUCUCGAAAACCCUAAUGUUUAGUGGACCUGACAUUUAGGCUUUGCAAUUGUUUUCAGAUUGGUUUAGUUGUUAAUGGGCUGGUUAUCUGUUUAGGUCCGUUACUUUAGUUGUUUGUAAAUUUGUAUUGAAUUAAGCCCAUUAUCUA